rnacentral:rRNA from 1 species
CGGAGACACGAAGACAGGUGGUGCAUGGUUGUCGUCAGCUCGUGUCGUGAGAUGUUGGGUUAAGUCCCGCAACGAGCGCAACCCUUAUGAUUAGUUGCUACGCAAGAGCACUCUGAUCAGACUGCCGUUGACAAAACGGAGGAAGGUGGGGAUGAGGUCAAAUCAUCAUGCCCCUUACGACCUGGGCCUCACACGUACUACAAUGGCGUUUAACAAAGAGCAGCAAAACCGUGAGGUGGAGCAAAUCUCCAAAAAACGUCUCAGUUCGGAUUGUAGGCUGCAACCCGCCUGCAUGAAGUCGGAAUUGCUAGUAAUCGUAGAUCAGCAUGCUACGGUGAAUACGUUCCCGGGCCUUGUACACACCGCCCGUCAAACCAUGAGAGUUGGCAACACCCGAAGCCUGUAGCUUAACCGCAAGGACGGCGCAGUCGAAGGUGGGGUCGAUGAUUAGGGUUAAGUCGUAACAAGG